rnacentral:rRNA from 1 species
GAUGAACGCUGGCGGCGUGCUUAAUACAUGCAAGUCGAACGGAAAGGCCCUGCUUUUGUGGGGUGCUCGUGUGGCGCACGGGUGAGUAACACGUGUGUAACCUGCCCUUGAAUUUGGGAUAACUUCAGGAAAAUGGGGCUAAUACCGGAUAGGAGCUCCUGCUGCAUGGUGGGGGAUGGAAAGUUUCGGCGGUUGGGGAUGGACUCGCGGCUUAUCGGCUGGUUGGUGGGGUAGUUGCUUACCAAGGGUUUGACGGGUAGCCGGCCUGAGAGGGGGACCGGGCACAUGGGGACUGAGAUACGGCCCAGACGGCUACGGGAGGCAGCAGUGGGGAAUAUUGCACAAUGGGCGGAAGCCUGAUGCAGCAACGCCGCGUGCGGGAUGACGGCCUUCGGGGUGUAAACAGCUUUCGCAGGUGACGAAGCGUGAGUGACGGUAAUGGGUAAAGAAGCACCGGCUAACUACGUG